rnacentral:misc_RNA from 1 species
GAAAGAUGCAGAGCUCAGAGUGAAGAUAGUGGAAGAAAGAGCUCGGUUUGAUAAAAACCCAAAAGAAUUCCGUGAUUCUUACAAGGCAGAGCAAGAGAAGCUACAGCACAGAUUGCUUCAGCUAGAACGUCUCUUUCUUGUGUGCAGAUAGAUCAUGAUCUCAAGGUAAAAAUCUCCAAGGUUUGUGCAGAGCUGAAUGUGGAUGGAUUGAGAGGGGC